AACGAACGCUGGCGGCAUGCCUAACACAUGCAAGUCGAACGAGACCUUCGGGUCUAGUGGCGCACGGGUGCGUAACGCGUGGGAAUCUGCCCUUGGGUUCGGAAUAACAGCGAGAAAUUGCUGCUAAUACCGGAUGAUGACGUAAGUCCAAAGAUUUAUCGCCCAAGGAUGAGCCCGCGUAGGAUUAGCUAGUUGGUGAGGUAAAGGCCUACCAAGGCGACGAUCCAUAGCUGGUCUGAGAGGAUGAUCAGCCACAUUGGGACUGAGACACGGCCCAAACUCCUACGGGAGGCAGCAGUGGGGAAUAUUGGACAAUGGGCGCAAGCCUGAUCCAGCCAUGCCGCGUGAGUGAUGAAGGCCCUAGGGUUGUAAAGCUCUUUCACCGGUGAAGAUAAUGACGGUAACCGAGAAGAAGCCCCGGCUAACUUCGUGCCAGCAGCCGCGGUAAU
rnacentral:rRNA from 1 species